UACAGAGACUGCGAGCGUUAUUCGGAUUCACUGGGCGUAAAGGGUGCGCAGGCGGCCAAGUGUGUGAGGCGUGAAAGCCCGGGGCUUAACCCCGGAAUUGCACCUCAAACUACAUGGCUAGAGUACUGGAGAGGGUAACGGAAUUCACGGUGUAGCAGUGAAAAUGCGUAGAUAUCGUGAGGAACACCAGAGGCGAAGGCAGUGUCCUGGGGAGUACCUGACGCUCAGGUGCGAAAGCCAGGGGAGCGAACGGG
rnacentral:rRNA from 1 species